CUUUGCAUAGGGUGGCACUGAGCCCAUCAUCAAUUAAAUAACAUAAUUAGAGAGUGUCAGUAAAGUUCAGGGCAUAAUCGUCAUUUGUUGCCAAAAUAAGUGUUUUGAUCUGUCCAUUAUCCUGUGUAAGUCCCUUCAUGUCUCAAAUGAAAGUGUAAUGGAUGAACUUCCUUUAAUAGCAAGAUACUCGCGAGUUAAUAGGUGAGACUGAAGCUGCACUGCUCGUCUGACCGCGCACCAGGUCAGUUCACUAUUGUUAUUCAGUCAGUGCUCUGUGGGGAUCGAGCUCGGCCAGUUGGUAAACCUAACGCAAAAAAUAAGUGAACACAAAUAACUGAAAGUUAAACUGUCUUGAAAUGUUUUCAUAUGUGUUCUCUUAAUUUGAAUUUCAAAUGGAAUUUCUUUGCAGUUCAACUUUUCCAGUUUUAUCUUAAAGCUAUACAGAAAAAAAAAGAGGUCAAUCCCCGGCACCUGGAAUGCAGGCAGUUAGAAAGCCUUUUUAAAAAGGCUUAGGGAAGGAUCCACUUUAACAUCUACUUUGUUAAUUCUGAUAGAGAUGUUUCUAUUCCAAGUGGUUUUGUUGUUGUUGUUUGGUGGAUGUAAUUCUUGAUAUCUUUUAAGCCAGAGUCAGGCUCAGCUGUGUACAUAAAUACAUGUUUUUGUUAGCAUUCUUCUGUGCUUUUCUUAACUCCCA
rnacentral:lncRNA from 1 species